ACAACUAUUUCUCUUAAAAAAUAUUUUCCUUUAUUGCAGCCAUAUCCCUAAUGAAAAAAAUUAUGACACUCUCAACGUGCAUAACUUAAACUCUCUUUUCUUUCCUUUCUUCCUGUCUGCUGCCUUUAUAUAGCCACAUUGAUUAGGUCUUUUAGUCUCUAGUGGGCUCUUGGUCGGGAGGGAUUUCUUUUCUCGGAUAAUAACAUGGCAAAAUCGAUGAAAAACUCAGAAAUCUCAACAUUUAAAUAUCAAUCUUCCCUUUUCUUAUGUACCCUUUUCUUCAUUUUCCUCAUCCUUGUUCAUUCAUAUCCUCCUCAUUCUUCGAAAGUAACAAUGAAAUUUCACUCAAGAAAGAUCCCUAGAAAUAAUCCUCAGAACUCUUCAUCCUCUUCCACUUUUACUAAUAGAGAAUUUGAAGCUGGUGAUCAUGAAGUUCCAAGUGGGCCAAGUCCUAUAUCAAAUCGUUAAAGUUGUUGGGACUAUAUCUGGUUCGUGUUUGACGAGUUACGUGGGGAAAGAGAAGAAGAUUAGAAGAAAGAAGAUCAAAAAGAAAUAGUUUGGCUUUCAGUCUCAGACCGAUUAACUGUAGGUGUGUUCGUUAUCAAGUCAAUUCACCAAAUCAACAGUUGUCCCCUAGUUUACCGCAGGGUUAUUGGCACAGGAUUAGCCUGGAUUUCUGCUUCGAGUAAUGUUCAUGAAGAUUUUGCAAAGGUGAACAUUAGCAAAUGUUAGUACUAUUCUAUGACCAACAAGUUCACCAUUAAUACUACAAGUUUUCUUUGAA